AUCGCUCUUGCUCUUUUGGCUAAGAUCAAGUAUAGUAUUUGUUCUUAUCAGUUUAAUAUCUGAUACACCCUCUAUUCUUAUUAGGUUUUAAGAAGUAUGAAAUUGAGGAUACAUUACUAUUCUUCAAACAGAAC
rnacentral:snRNA from 1 species